CCGAGUUAGGGUUGCCCCUCGGGGUGCCCGACCUCCCAACCCUGUGUUUACUCGACCUCAGUUGCUUCGGUGGGCCGGACGUCGACCAACUGGUCACGACCGCCGGUCUAGAGGGCUGGAGAGCUCGCCCGCCGACGGCCUGUACCUAAAUUCUUUGUACUGAAACCUGUCGUCUGAAUACUUUUUUUGAGCAAUCAAAAAUCA
rnacentral:misc_RNA from 1 species